GAUGAACGCUGGCGGCGUGCCUAAUACAUGCAAGUCGAGCGAACAGACGAGGAGCUUGCUCCUCUGACGUUAGCGGCGGACGGGUGAGUAACACGUGGAUAACCUACCUAUAAGACUGGGAUAACUUCGGGAAACCGGAGCUAAUACCGGAUAAUAUGUUGAAUCGCAUGGUUCAACAGUGAAAGACGGUCUUGCUGUCACUUAUAGAUGGAUCCGCGCCGCAUUAGCUAGUUGGUAAGGUAACGGCUUACCAAGGCAACGAUGCGUAGCCGACCUGAGAGGGUGAUCGGCCACACUGGAACUGAGACACGGUCCAGACUCCUACGGGAGGCAGCAGUAGGGAAUCUUCCGCAAUGGGCGAAAGCCUGACGGAGCAACGCCGCGUGAGUGAAGAAGGUCUUCGGAUCGUAAAACUCUGUUAUUAGGGAAGAACAAAUGUGUAAGUAACUAUGCACGUCUUGACGAUACCUAAUCAGAAAGCCACGGCUAACUACGUG
rnacentral:rRNA from 1 species